rnacentral:rRNA from 1 species
UCGGCAAAACAGAUCCGUAACUUCGGGAAAAGGAUUGGCUCUGAGGGUUGGGUAUAGGGGUCCUUGUUCUGAUGUUCGAGCUGAGCAGAAGCUACUUGACGCCUCUGGUGGAUAGUGGAUUCGCGCAUGGCGAGAAUUGCCGGGCAAGGAGCGUCUUUCGGGCCUUUCCCUGUGCAAUGAACAACCAACUCAGAACUGGAGCGGACAAGGGGAAUCCGACUGUUUAAUUAAAACUAAGCAUUGCGAUGGCUGGAGACGGUGUUGACGCAAU